rnacentral:rRNA from 1 species
GACGAACGCUGGCGGCGUGCCUAAUACAUGCAAGUCGUACGCAUCUUUUUCACCGGAGCUUGCUCCACCGAAAAAGAUGAGUGGCGAACGGGUGAGUAACACGUGGGUAACCUGCCCAUCAGAAGGGGAUAACACUUGGAAACAGGUGCUAAUACCGUAUAAUAGUUUGACCCGCAUGGGUUGAAUUUGAAAGGAGCUUUUGCGUCACUGAUGGAUGGACCCGCGGCGUAUUAGCUAGUUGGUGAGGUAAUGGCUCACCAAGGCAACGAUACGUAGCCGACCUGAGAGGGUGAUCGGCCACAUUGGGACUGAGACACGGCCCAAACUCCUACGGGAGGCAGCAGUAGGGAACCUUCGGCAAUGGACGAAAGUCUGACCGAGCAACGCCGCGUGAGUGAAGAAGGUUUUCGGAUCGUAAAACUCUGUUGGUAAAGAAGAACAAGGGUGAGAGUAAAAAGUUCACUCCUUGACGGUAUUUACCCAGAAAGCCACGGCUAACUACGUGCCAGCAGCCGCCGUAA